rnacentral:rRNA from 1 species
UCGUACGAACAGCGGAAAGUGCUUGCACUUUCCAAGUAAGUGGCGAACGGGUGAGUAACACGUGAAUAACCUACCUCAAAGUCUGGGAUAACCAUUGGAAACAGUGACUAAUACCGGAUAAAACCCAAGUGCACAUGCACUAAGGUUAAAAGCUGCGUUUGCAGCGCUUUAAGAUGGAUUCGCGGUGCAUUAGUUAGUUGGUGAGGUAAAGGCUCACCAAGACAAUGAUGCAUAGCCGAGUUGAGAGACUGACCGGCCACAUUGGGACUGAGACACGGCCCAAACUCCUACGGGAGGCUGCAGUAGGGAAUCUUCCACAAUGGGCGCAAGCCUGAUGGAGCAACGCCGCGUGUGUGAUGAAGGCUUUCGGGUCGUAAAGCACUGUUGUAUGGGAAGAACGGGUUUAAGAGGAAAUGCUUAGACAGUGACGGUACCAUACCAGAAAGGGACGGCUAAAUACGUGCCAGCAGCCGCGGUAAUACGUAUGUCCCGAGCGUUAUCCGGAUUUAUUGGGCGUAAAGCGAGCGCAGACGGUUGCUUAAGUCUGAAGUGAAAGCCCACAGCUCAACUGUGGAAUGGCUUUGGAAACUGGGCAACUUGAGUGCAGUAGAGGUAAGUGGAACUCCAUGUGUAGCG